UACGGGGGGAGCAAGCGUUGUUCGGAUUUACUGGGCGUAAAGGGCGCGUAGGCGGCCACUGCAAGUCGGUUGUGAAAUCUCCGGGCUUAACCCGGGAACUGCAUUUGUGACUGGCAAGCUAGAGUAUGGCAGAGGGGGGUAGAAUUCCACGUGUAGCAGUGAAAUGCGUAGAGAUGUGGAGGAAUACCGAUGGCGAAGGCAGCCCCCUGGGCCAAUACUGACGCUCAUGCACGAAAGCGUGGGGAGCAAACAGG
rnacentral:rRNA from 1 species